rnacentral:rRNA from 1 species
AUUGAACGCUGGCGGAAUGCUUUACACAUGCAAGUCGAGCGGCAGCGCGGGGGCAACCCUGGCGGCGAGCGGCGAACGGGUGAGUAACAUAUCGGAACGUACCCAGUCGUGGGGGAUAACUAUCCGAAAGGAUAGCUAAUACCGCAUACGUCCUGAGGGAGAAAGCGGGGGAUCGCAAGACCUCGCGCGAUUGGAGCGGCCGACAUCGGAUUAGCUAGUUGGUGGGGUAAAGGCUCACCAAGGCGACGAUCCGUAGCGGGUCUGAGAGGACGACCCGCCACACUGGAACUGAGACACGGUCCAGACUCCUACGGGAGGCAGCAGUGGGGAAUUUUGGACAAUGGGCGCAAGCCUGAUCCAGCCAUGCCGCGUGAGUGAAGAAGGCCUCGGUUGUAAG